rnacentral:rRNA from 1 species
CCUACGGGUGGCAGCAGUGAGGAAUAUUGGUCAAUGUGCGCGAGCCUGAACCAGCCAAGUCGCGUGCGGGAAGACGGCCCUACGGGUUGUAAACCUCUUUUGCAGGGGAGCAACGGGCGCCACGUGUGGCGCCACUGAGAGUACCCGGAGCAAAAGCAUCGGCUAACUCCGUGCCAGCAGCCGCGUGAAUACGGAGGAUGCGAGGGUUAUCCGGUGUUAUUGGGUUUAAAGGGGGCGUAGGCGGAGCGUUAAGUCCGUGGUAAACUUGAGGGGCUCAACCCCUUCCCGCCAUUGAAACUGGCGCUCUUGAGUGGAAGAGAAGUAUGCGGAAUGCGUGGUGGAGCGGUGAAAUGCAUAGAUAUCACGCAGAACCCCGAUUGCGAAGGCAGCAUGCCGGCUUCCGACUGACGCUGAAGCACGAAAGCGUGGGGAUCGAACAGGAUUAGAUACCCUUGUAGUC